rnacentral:misc_RNA from 1 species
UCGUAACAAGGUUUCCGUAGGUGAACCUGCGGAAGGAUCAUUACCUAGAGUUUGUGGACUUCGGUCUGCUACCUCUUACCCAUGUCUUUUGAGUACCUUCGUUUCCUCGGCGGGUCCGCCCGCCGGUUGGACAACAUUCAAACCCUUUGCAGUUGCAAUCAGCGUCUGAAAAAACUUAAUAGUUACAACUUUCAACAACGGAUCUCUUGGUUCUGGCAUCGAUGAAGAACGCAGCGAAAUGCGAUAAGUAGUGUGAAUUGCAGAAUUCAGUGAAUCAUCGAAUCUUUGAACGCACAUUGCGCCCCUUGGUAUUCCAUGGGGCAUGCCUGUUCGAGCGUCAUUUGUACCUUCAAGCUCUGCUUGGUGUUGGGUGUUUUGUCUCGCCUCCGCGCGCAGACUCGCCUUAAAACAAUUGGCAGCCGGCGUAUUGAUUUCGGAGCGCAGUACAUCUCGCGCUUUGCACUCAUAACGACGACGUCCAAAAGUACAUUUUUACACUCUUGACCUCGGAUCAGGUAGGGAUACCCGCUGAACUUAAGCAUAUCAAUAA